rnacentral:rRNA from 1 species
UACGAAGGGGGGCUAGCGUUGCUCGGAAUUACUGGGCGUAAAGGGCGCGUAGGCGGAUAUCUAAGUUGGGGGUGAAAAUCCCGGGGCUCAACCUCGGAAUUGCCUUCAAAACUGGAUAUCUUGAGUUCGGGAGAGGUGAGUGGAACUCCGAGUGUAGAGGUGAAAUUCGUAGAUAUUCGGAAGAACACCAGUGGCGAAGGCGACUCACUGGCCCGAUACUGACGCUGAGGCGCGAAAGCGUGGGGAGCAAACAGG